AGAGUUUGAUCCUGGCUCAGAACGAACGCUGGCGGCGUGCCUAACACAUGCAAGUCGAGCGAGAAAAGGGGGGCAACUCCCUGAGUACAGCGGCGCACGGGUGAGUAACACGUAGGUGACCUACCCUAGAGCUCGGAAUAACCUACCGAAAGGUGGGCUAAUACCGGAUACGUCCACGAGGGCCUCGGUUCUCGUGGAGAAAGAUGGCCUCUACUCGUAAGCUAUCACUCAAGGCUGGGCCUGCGUGCCAUUAGCUAGUUGGUGGGGUAACGGCUCACCAAGGCGAUGAUGGCUAGCUGGUCUGAGAGGAUGACCAGCCACACUGGGACUGAAACACGGCCCAGACUCCUACGGGAGGCAGCAGUGGGGGAUAUUGCGCAAUGGGCGAAAGCCUGACGCAGCGACGCCGCGUGGGUGAUGAAGGCCUUCGGGUCGUAAAGCCCUGUCGAGGGGGAAGAACCGGUUGCGACCUAAUACGUCGCAGCCCUGACGG
rnacentral:rRNA from 1 species